UGAAUGGGAAAGGUGCCAUCUGCC
rnacentral:piRNA from 1 species